GUUGGUGGAUUUGACUCUACCACUCCUCCAAACGUCGCCGUUUCUUUAUACCUUCUUUCUCCCUGAAUACUCCCACAUCCUCCUCCUCCUCCUCCGUUAACACUCUCCGGCAAAGAAAACGUCGACGUCAAAGAUGAUGACGUCGACGACGUUGAAUUCGAGAGCAUCGACUUCGCCACCAAACCCGUCUCGUAACUACCAAACUGUCCUUGCGUCAUAGGAACAAUCCACCCAUCCGGUGAAUGAUUCCGGUAAAGAUUCUCCGUUGAUGACGGCGACGGUGUUGAUGAUGACAUAACCCUAAAGACCCUCCCUUCAUCUUCUUCCACUUCUUCUUCCUCUGACUUCACCGUCGACAUCGUGACACGACGCUUCUUCUUGUCGGAAACUUGUUGUUGUUGCUUUGUCCGUUCUUUCUCGAGCAUCAUUCUUGGAAGAAGAUCAGGAUCUUCAACGACUUUGUAAAGAAACGCCAUCAUCUGCUCCGGUCUCUUCUCCGUCGCUUCGAUCCUCCGGUUCAUCCUCUGAAUCUCUGCCUCUAGCUCCCUCUGCUCUUCUUUUAACCGUUCGAUCUCCCUCACAAUCUCACCGUCCUCCAAAUCUUGACCGUACAUCCCCCGCGCGUGUUUCCUACGCGCUAUGUUAUUCAACAAAUGCUUCUGUCCCCUUAGAAAAUGCUCGUUCGCAAACUCCCACCGGUCCGGAUCCACUUUCCUAAACCCCUAAAGUAAAUAAAGAAAGGAUCAUUAGUUCGUAAUCCCCUGUUUCCAGUUUCAUGUAAGAUUCGUUGCGAGAAGUCGAGUGGAUCAACGACUAUGAAACUGUUGUGAGCAGGUCCCCAAGUGAUGAGCCAAUCGGUGGAAGGAUCAUUGACCAUCUGAUAUGUUUUCACGAUGAAAGAAAUUAAAGAGGAGCCUGGAGGGUUUAUAUAAAGAUAGGAAAAUGAGAUGUGAAAAUAGUAAGUUAAGUGUAGUUGACAGUGAGACUAUAUUGACGUGGCUUGCUUUUUGUGAUAACGUGGCGGGUUCGUGUUUUGCCUUUUACGGUGUCACGAGUGAACUGUGGGACCUAUGCAGGUGCCACAAAGCCUUAGGUCAAUUAGCUUUUCUUAGAUGGCAAGUUAUUAGUCCGAGCCGUUGUGUAUUUGUGUGAGAUGUUUUCAAGAGACGACGAGCGUGUGGGUGCUUGGAUACUGACAUGGUCCGCACUGGUUAGUGACGGAGGAACUCAGGAACAAGUACUGAUUCGACACGUUGCGUAGAAUCUUUUUUGUUGGCGAUGCACACUCCACUAAUCGAGUAUUUUUGUAUUUAUGGAAAGUUUAUUCAUUAUACGUUGCUUAAUUCAGAUUUGUUUUCAUUUAUUCAAAUCAAAACAAAUAUAAGAAGGAGUGAUUCAAAGAUCACAAAGUUUAAAACAUAAUUAAAAGAGGCAUUCCCCAAAACCAAGAUAUGAUAGAUAAUGUGAAACGACAUAAAAUUCAUGAGAGCUUUGAGCCACAAACUAUAAGGCAUGAUGGCACAUGUGAGGUCACGGGUAGUCGAAGGAUCUUCCACGAACGAAUCAAUGGACAACAAAUUGGUCACUGUCAAGAGACGAGAUGACGUUGAAUAAGGUUCCAAGGCCGAUGUUCUCGCCGACACGAGAAGGAGAAACUGGAGUUGUUCAUCGCCGAGGAGGUGGGUAACGAUGGGUGUAAGGUCAAGAAGGUUGAAGAAGCUUCGGUAAUCAUCACUCCAUGGAGACGAGAUCAUAAUGCCGUUCUUUCCCAAGCUUUGAAGAUCAUGAAUACUAAACUUAAUAAUGUUGAAUCGCUUUUGCUUGAAUUCAGUAAUCAGAGGAUAGGAGUGGGAAAGGUUGAAGAAGCGUUGGUAAUCACCGCUCCUUGGAGACGUGA
rnacentral:lncRNA from 1 species